CGCUUCUCGUUUUUCUGCUGUUUUUAGGAAAGCCUUGCUGAAAUUGUGGAGUAUAGUGAGCCAUUAUUUGCUUUAUUUCUAUUAAUACCAAUUAAAUUUACCAUAUACGAGCAGGUACACUUAUUUUUAUGUUAUUUAGUGGCGAAAUAGAGCCAGCAUUUCUAUGACAGAAAAGUACCAAAGUGCGAAUCCAUGGAAAACUCGACGAAGCUUCAAACCGUCAACAAGGAAUCAUAGCGCAGUUUCUCGCGUGCUCGAGAGAUAAGCGAAGGGAGAGAAAUAAAAGCCAGAGACGAGUCCUGCAUCCAGAGAAAAAUUGCUUGCUGAAAGGAACAUCAACGUCAAAGAAGAAGAAGAAGCAGAACAGGAGGAUGCCAUCUGUAUGAUAAUUUCCCCUCCGACAAAGGGCCCUUGGACAGAACUGGACUUAAAGUAAACACUGGUUUCCAUGACAACGCCCGGGACCCCUUUACAGAACGGCUAUCUAUCCUAAUCGUAUCUUGUACCAAGCUUAGGAAGUUAAGAACAGAGUAUCAUAAAAUUUUUGCCGUUGAAAAUUACCUAUACAUUUUGAUUAUUUUAAAAAGGCUAUCCAGAUAAAGAAGAUUAGGUGUAAAUGAUCACAGGAGAAGGGUAGACCGAGAGAUAAAUGGAUCCACAAAGAAACGUCUACCGGAGAGGAGAUUCUGAAAUGGAGGACCAGCUGGAUAAGCAAACUAAUAUCUUGAUGCAGUGUAUAGUUAAAAGAAGAGUGGAUAAAGAGUCUAGAAUACAUGAAGAUGAGACACACAGGACAUUAACCAGAGGAAUAUGAGAAAAGCAAAAAAAUGCAAGUUAAGGUACAUUUCUACAUAUAAUACUAUACGAAGAAGGAGGAAUUGGAGCGAACAAAAUAAAGACGUUAAUAGUAGGAAUAAAUAAUGGGUAAUAAGGGAAGAGUGAAAAUACAAUUGAAACAAGACGAGGAAAAUAAGGAGAUUAGGUGGAGAGUUUAUAUUUGUAAAUCAGGUGACGAAAGAAGAUUGAUAUUUGUCAAGUCAGAUAGAAAAAAUUUUAUUAGAAGAAAUAUAUUUUGACGAUCAGAUACAAAAGAGGAUUUAUAUCUUUAAUCCUCUUAUGUAACAAGAUUCACAUUUGUAAAAUGUGUUAUGAUAAGCUUAGAUUUUUAGAUUCGAUUAUAUAAUGAUUUAUUUUGGUAA